rnacentral:rRNA from 1 species
UGCUGGACCCUCUUCUAGAUGCAGAAAAUACUAGUGAAUUCGAGGGUAACCCAGGGAAACUGGCAUUAAUCAUGGCCAUAGUAUUUUCCUGAGGCAUCACUUUUACAUUAAAAUUACGGUGGUAAUAGAUGAGUAUGCGUCCCAUUAGUUAGUUGGUAAGGUAACGGCUUACCAAGGCAGCGAUGGGUAGGGGUCCUGAGAGGGAGAUCCCCCACACUGGUACUGAGACACGGACCAGACUCCUACGGGAGGCAGCAGUGAGGAAUAUUGGACAAUGGAGGCAACUCUGAUCCAGCCAUGCCGCGUGCAGGAAGACUGCCCUAUGGGUUGUAAACUGCUUUUACAGAGGAAGAACCGCACCCACGUGUGGGUGUUUGACGGUACUCUGCGAAUAAGGAUCGGCUAACUCCGUGCCAGCAGCCGCGGUAAUCGGAGGAUCCAAGCGUUAUCCGGAAUCAUUGGGUUUAAAGGGUCCGUAGGCGGGACAAUAAGUCAGUGGUGAAAGUCUGCAGCUUAACUGUAGACUGCCAUUGAAAC